rnacentral:lncRNA from 1 species
UGAACAUCAGAGUGUAAUUAAAUCUGUAAUUAAUGUGUGUAUUGUUUUGCUAUGAAGCAGUGUACUAUAUACCAUAACAGUUAUUAUUGUUAUUGGUUACUUAAUUAUAACACAAUGGGCAGCCUCAUAAUGGUGAGGGAAGUACCAUAGUUACUUUAAAAAUUUCAAGUAAUAUUUUUGACUGGAGUCUUAGCUAAACAAUAUUAAAGUAAUUGUGAAAUUAUGUAUUUUUUAAAAUAAAAUAUUUAGAACAUAAAGACAAUUUUAUUUUUCCCCAAGUUUUCAACUGAGUCUUUUGUAUUCUUUCUGGACUAUCAGUUUCUUAAUUUGGCAGUAGAAUAUAUCUCUAUGACCAUGUAUACAUACAGCUAAAGGGAGAAUUGAAGUAAUUUCUUAGUAAGUUGACUAAAACAUUUUAACUCAAAAUAUGAAGAAAACUGUGGAUUUUUUUUUUUUUUUUGCCGGAAAAUGAGUUGAAUUUGGAAUACUUACCUCCAUUUUGAAAAAAAUUAUACUUCAUAUAUUUAUUAUGUAAUAUUUGGAAAUAAUAUGAGAUUUGGCUUAUGAAGUAGGAAGAACUGACCAUAAAUAUAAUUUUAAAUAUUUUCUCAUUCCCUUGGAGGCCAUUUUGACCUAUGAAGCAGGGUCAGAUGUAUGUUGGGUCUCAAACAUAUGGUGUCCUAAUGUGGACAUUUGCAGCAAGUUAGUGCAACUGAUUUUCAUGAUCUGGUUUAUUAAUUACUCCUAAGAGAAAUAUAAUACAAUAAUGUAAACAUUGUACUAUAUUUCUUAUAAGUUAGUUGGUAAUUUUUGUGCUUAUUUAAAUUUAAACAUUUCUAGAACAUAGGUUGAAUAGGUACUGUAAUUUGAUGUUUAUGCAUCUUACUACUUUCAGAUUUCAUUUCUGUUUUUGUUAUUUGCCCAAUCUGAUUCUAUUUUUAGGGUAUUUGUGUUUAAGGAUGCCUAAUAUGUAGAUAUUGUUUUCAUUUUUUGUUGUUGUUGAGGAUUGAACCCAGGGGUGCUUUAUCACCAAGCUACUUUCUCCAGUUCCCCCCUUUUUUAACUUUGUAUUUUGAGACAAGAUCUCACUGAGUUGCUUAGGGCCUCACUAAGUUGCUGAGGCUGGUCUUGAACUUUCAAUCCUCCCGCCUCAGUUUCCAAGUCAUUGGGAUUGUAGGCAUGUACCACCAUGUCUGGCUUCUUUUCAUCUUUUUCAAAAGAUUACAUUUUGAUGUGUUAUUUCCUAUAGAUAGUCACUGACUUAUCAAUAAAAAUAAAAUCUACUGAAUUUAGAGGGCUUGUCAUUUGUGUUUUAUUCUUUUUAAAUUAAAGAGCAAGACACAAGACACCAGUAUUUGUACUCAAUUAGCAGAAUACAUAUUUAAGCUUUCUUUAAUUUCAUAUUAUUGAGAUGAUGAGAAAGGAAAGAAAAGGAAUAAAAUGAAAUAAAAAUAAGUUAAAGAGAUCAAUGGGUAAGGGGAAAGAUGAAC